rnacentral:rRNA from 1 species
CGUGAGUGAUGAAGGUUUUCGGAUCGUAAAGCUCUGUUGUUAGGGAAGAACAAGUGCCGUUCAAAUAGGGCGGCACCUUGACGGUACCUAACCAGAAAGCCACGGCUAACUACGUGCCAGCAGCCGCGGUAAUACGUAGGUGGCAAGCGUUGUCCGGAAUUAUUGGGCGUAAAGGGCUCGCAGGCGGUUUCUUAAGUCUGAUGUGAAAGCCCCCGGCUCAACCGGGGAGGGUCAUUGGAAACUGGGGAACUUGAGUGCAGAAGAGGAGAGUGGAAUUCCACGUGUAGCGGUGAAAUGCGUAGAGAUGUGGAGGAACACCAGUGGCGAAGGCGACUCUCUGGUCUGUAACUGACGCUGAGGAGCGAAAGCGUGGGGAGCGAACAGGAUUAGAUACCCUGGUAGUCCACGCCGUAAACGAUGAGUGCUAAGUGUUAGGGGGUUUCCGCCCCUUAGUGCUGCAGCUAACGCAUUAAGCACUCCGCCUGGGGAGUACGGUCGCAAGACUGAAACUCAAAGGAAUUGACGGGGGCCCGCACAAGCGGUGGAGCAUGUGGUUUAAUUCGAAGCAACGCGAAGAACCUUACCAGGUCUUGACAUCCUCUGACAAUCCUAGAGAUAGGACGUCCCCUUCGGGGGCAGAGUGACAGGUGGUGCAUGGUUGUCGUCAGCUCGUGUCGUGAGAUGUUGGGUUAAGUCCCGCAACGAGCGCAACCCUUGAUCUUAGUUGCCAGCAUUCAGUUGGGCACUCUAAAGGUGACUGCCGGUGACAACCGGGAGGAAGGUGGGGAUGACGUCAAAUCAUCAUGCCCCUUAUGACCUGGCUACACACGUGCUACAAUGGACAGAACAAGGGCAGCGAAG